AAUGAACGCUGGCGGCAGGCCUAACACAUGCAAGUCGAGCGAGGACUUCGGUCCUAGCGGCGGACGGGUGAGUAACGCGUGGGAACGUGCCCCUUGGUACGGAAUAGCCCCGGGAAACUGGGAGUAAUACCGUAUGAGCUCUACGGAGGAAAGAUUUAUCGCCAAGGGAUCGGCCCGCGUUGGAUUAGGUAGUUGGUGGGGUAAUGGCCUACCAAGCCGACGAUCCAUAGCUGGUUUGAGAGGAUGAUCAGCCACACUGGGACUGAGACACGGCCCAGACUCCUACGGGAGGCAGCAGUGGGGAAUCUUAGACAAUGGGCGCAAGCCUGAUCUAGCCAUGCCGCGUGAGCGAUGAAGGCCUUAGGGUUGUAAAGCUCUUUCAGCUGGGAAGAUAAUGACUGUACCAGCAGAAGAAGCCCCGGCUAACUCCGUGCCAGCCGCCGCGGUAAGAC
rnacentral:rRNA from 1 species